GCAUAUCAAUAAGCGGAGGAAAAGAAAAUAACAAUGAUUCCCUUAGUAACGGCGAGUGAAGGGGGAAAAGCUCAAAUUUUAAAUCUGCUAGGUUUUACUUAUCAGAAUUGUAAUUUGAAGAAGCGUUUUCCGCGUCUCGGUUGGCCCAAAUCCUUUGGGAUAAGGUAUCAUGGAGGGUGAGAAUCCCGUUCGGUUGACCUUAUGACGCUCUACGAUACGCUCUCUAAGAGUCGAGUUGUUUGGGAUUGCAGCUCAAAAUGGGAGGUAAAUUUCUCCUAAGGCUAAAUAUCGGCGAGAGACCGAUAGCGAACAAGUACCGUGAGGGAAAGAUGAAAAGAACUUUGAAAAGAGAGUAAAAUAGUACGUGAAAUUGUUGAAAGGGAAACGAUUGAAGUCAGUCGUACCGACGAGAAAUCAACUUAUCGUGUGCGAACUUGUGGGCGUGCGCGAGUUUCGGCCUCGCUGUUUGCAUGUUUGUGCGUUUUGGGUGUACUUUUUCGUAUGGUAGGCCAACGUCAGUUUCGAUUAUCAUAAAAUGACCGGCGGAAUGUAGCUUCGAUUUCGGUUGAAGUGUUAUAGCCUCUGGUAGACGUGGUGAUUGAGACUGAGGAUUGCAACGAAUACCCUUUGGGCUAUCCGUCUGGCCUCUGAAAGUUGCUCAGGUGCCGAAAGCGUGCUUACGGUCAUCUGAGAUAAUGUUCAACAGGUUAGAACGUGAUUACAUUCGUUAAGGAUGUUGACGUA
rnacentral:rRNA from 1 species